AUCUGUUCAUGCGUUUGUACAAAUGGUAACGCAGUGCGGGUAUUUGGGGUGAAGUUAGUUGGAGUUUAUUUUACUGUUUUAUCUAUCGGUGUAUAUGUGUGUCAUUCAAUGUGGUGGUGCUAACGUAAAUUUUCCAUUAAAUGACUUGGGUAUAAAAGACGACAUCGCGUCAAACUUUUCUUUUCUUUUACUUUGGUUUACAACUAAUUUGUAUAACUAGAAGAAAUUUUGACCACACAUUUUGGAAAUUUUGUGGAUAUUACCGAAACUUUGCAAAGUCUUAUCAAAAGAACACUUGAAAAACGCAUACUGGCAAUUUGUGAUUUGCGGUGAGGUUAUAUUGAAUCUCGAAAUUACCUCUAACAUCAUUUUUUUUGCACGCUUAAUUAUAUGCACAUGUCACGGUACUAAGAUUUCGUUUUCAUACACCAUACACACAUAAGUAGCAUCUGGUCAUUUACUUGACACUGCUUCAAAAAAAAACGAAUAUUAACAAGAGGAAGAAACAACCCCGGGAAUCAAACAAAAUUGAAAACAUAAAGACAAGUUGUGACAAGUAACUAUAACUAUUUGGUUUUUUCCUUUAAAAACAACCACAAAACAAAUAUUUUAAAAUCUAAUAUCACAGAAAAGUUGCUUAAUCUAUUAUCACAAUGAGGAAAAUUUUAACAAAAACAAUUUAAAUAAAACAAAUCGAAUGGAACCGAAA